GCUGCUUGCCACACUAGGUUUUCUCUCGACCAAUUUCAGCUCAUCUUCCAGUGCUGCUCCUCCGAAGCCUACACAAGUUUCCUUUUUCCUUUUGUUGUCGUUUUCGUUUUCUAACUUUAAAUUUUUAUGUUGUUUUGUUUUACCUGUUUUUAUGGAAGCCUUAGAGGAGAAUCUCUCAUGGCUCCCUCUGUUUGGAUUGGAAUGGGAAAAUAACAAAAAAAAAAAAAAAAAAAAAAAACAACCUUUUUUUAAAUUUACAAGGCAGUGUCAUGUCUAAGUGUUUCUCUUAUAUAAGGCUGCCUUGCUAGUAUAUCUCCCUGCCUGUCAUGAGUUCUUUCUUCCCAUUGCUACUUGGAUACGGCCUCUUAGGACUUACUGCAGAGCCAGGAAUGCUGGCAUACACAAGGAAGGAGUUGGUUCUGCUCCACAUUUCUAAUCCUAUUGUGUAUGUAUCUUCCUUCUCCCAGGAGCUAUUUGAAGUGUGUGGACUAAUUUGGAUUAUACUCAAAGAGUUGAGGCAAUUAUAGUGCUUGAGCCUUGAGACUGUCUGUUGUUGCCUUCUCAGAGUUUUGCAGCUCAGGGUUGGGGCCUAGUUACAGUUUGGAUCCUUAGUCCAAGAAUUUUGAGAACGUGAGUAAAACCUUGGCAGGAGCUAAAAAAUACUUAAAAGAUACCUUGCUACAUGAGUUCUUUAAAAACCUUCAGUGAAUUGUGGAAAAACAAAAAAGCAGUGUGAGAUUCCUGCUUAUAUAAAGUACUUGGGAAACAUGAAAGGGAGAAAGGCCAUGGCCCACUCACUCUUGCCUUCAGAUAGGGAGCUCAAAUGUGACUUUAGUUUUCUUGCCUUUUCUGGUUAGAACAUAAAGAUGUGGGUAGUAGUUUGGGGUAAUGGGUUUGCUCAUAUUACUUCCCUUCUUGUUACUGCUUUUGUUUUCUGUCUCCAACAUUUUCAUUAGGGCUGUAGCUCCCCACUCUGUGUAGAUAAAAGGUGGGUUCAGUCCAGCUAUUAUUGCCCUGAGGGAACAAACUACUUUUUUGGGAGCAAAUGUUCUCCAGCAUAUAGUUGACAGUGGUUAGGAGCCCUCCCCUUCCCCUGCCCUCCUGUAACAGCAGAAUCCUAUCCUUCCUCUUCUGUUCAUUGUAUUGACCAACCAGUAAUCCUAUUAUGUAUCUGAGUGUGUGUAUAGGGGGAAGGGGUUCUUUACAUUUUCUGUGGUUUGUGCUUUUUUCUUCAGUAAAUUAGUUCCCACCAUCGCAUGCCCAGGGGCCACUACCUGGCAUUAUCGCAUGCUGGGAUCAUUGGGGGAGGGUAGUUUGAAAUUCACCACUGUCCUUUGUUUUGGAGAUUCUUAUUUUUUAAUAAGUAAUCCGUCCUAUACAAAUAGCUAAUUAACUCUUGUGUUCCCCCUGCCCAUAUGGCUGCUGGUGUAAAUAAAUUGCAUUUUCCCAUUGCUAAAUGAUAAUAAAAUUUAAAAGAAAUAUUUUGACUCAUCUUCUUAAUGGCAUGUUUCCCAGGGGUUGUUGGCAUAGCAAAAUAUUUUACCACUCUUGAAUCUAGGUACUUGAAUGGGAGGUACAUCAAAAUCCACAGAGGAACUCUGUCUAGCUUUUAUUUCUCAUAUAAUCCUUCAAAUUUGGCUGUCUAUUAAAGAAAAAAGUACAUAAAGUUCCCUUUUUCAUAUGAGGUAAGAAGACAGUAAAAUAUAGUCCGGGCUACUAAUAAUGGUGCAUUGUAGUAGUUUAACUUGUACAAAAUUUGUUAUAGUAUAUACGUCAUCAUCAAACUAACUUGACAAAUGUUAAGUAGCAGAAAAUGCUUCCUACCUACUGUCCCUUAGUUUGUCCCACUCCUUUAGGGUUUUUGUUUGCUUUUGAAUAACAUCUCUUAAUUGUAAUCUACAGUUUGAGCAUUUCCUAGGAAUUGUACAUAAAAUUUAGUUCUGUCCAAAGUCACCAUAGUUCAAGGUGGGAAGUAGACAAGACAGAAGGCAUGGGAAAGUACCAGAGUAGGAAACUUCUAGUUGAAUACUCCAAAUAGCCUUCUUUUCCAUGAUCAUGAGUUGUAAUUAAAUGCAAUUGGCCACCUAAGACCUACAGUCAAAUCUGUUGAGAAAUUGUUUUAAAAGAAAAUGGGAAGGCUCUGUUAAAGAGCAUGUGACAAGUUUACUAUACAAAGUCCUAAAAAUAAAUCUCGAUUUUCCUUAAAUUUCUAUUAAGUGAAAUCUAUAUGGGAAUCUACCAUAACAUUUUAUUUAAAUUACUUGAUGCAGACAUCCUAUUUUGUAGAAUUAGAUUUAAUAUAGUCCUUUGUUUUCUAAAAUGACAAAAGACCAACUAUGUCCUAUAGGUAGUAUCUUUAUUGUUAGAAAGGAUAUCAAAUAGUUCAUAGCUCUGCUGGAUUUAGUAAUUUCAAGUUAUUUGAAGUAUGGAUUCAGGAAAACUUGCUCUGCAGGCAUUAAUGAUAACUGCCCUCUGAACCUGAGUUGUCCAUAUCUGUUUUGUUCAUUUAACAAGUAAAGAGCUGGUAUCUACCUGCUUUUAAACACAAUGUGAAACAAACAAUGUUUCACAUUAACGCUGAAAAGUUUAACACAGUGUCAGCUCUCCGCUUACCUUGAGAUAUAAUACUUCUUUAAAAGUUUACUGUGCUGGAAAAAGUGUGUCAUUCAUAGUACAACAGAUACAUGCUCUUGAUAGAACUUUGGAGGAGAAUAGUAAUAUGAUGUAAUCAUUGAAAAUAUAUGGCCCAGAAAACUGAAAAGCCUUGGGAUUUACUUCCAGUUGUUUCCCCAAUUUUAAAACAGUUCUAGUUCUAUGUGAACCUCAUUGGAAAUAUGUGUGCUUAAAAAAAAAAUUGUUAAAAUUGAUUUUAGAACUGAAAAUGGUGUGCAUCUUGCUGGCACCUGAAAGUUAUUACCAGGACUAAAUCCUGAAGUCAUUAGAUGUGACAGAAACAAACUUAAAAUGCAAAUAGUGUGACUCUUAAGCCAGCACUCAUUUGCUGAAAUAAUUUAGUAAAAAAUUAAAUUUCUAAAACUGUGUAGU
rnacentral:lncRNA from 1 species